AGCGAACGCUGGCGGCAGGCUUAACACAUGCAAGUCGAACGGGCGUAGCAAUACGUCAGUGGCAGACGGGUGAGUAACGCGUGGGAACGUACCGUUUGGUUCGGAACAACCCAGGGAAACUUGGGCUAAAUACCGGAUAAGCCCUUACGGGGAAAGAUUUAUCGCCGAAAGAUCGGCCCGCGUCUGAUUAGCUUGUUGGUGAGGUAACGGCUCACCAAGGCGACGAUCAGUAGCUGGUCUGAGAGGAUGAUCAGCCACAUUGGGACUGAGACACGGCCCAAACUCCUACGGGAGGCAGCAGUGGGGAAUAUUGGACAAUGGGCGCAAGCCUGAUCCAGCCA
rnacentral:rRNA from 1 species